rnacentral:rRNA from 1 species
UACAGAGGGUGCGAGCGUUAAUCGGAAUUACUGGGCGUAAAGAGUGUGUAGGCGGUGCUCCAAGUCUGGUGUGAAAUCCCCCGGCUCAACUGGGAGGGUGCAUUAGAAACUGGAAUGCUAGAGGAUGGGAGAGGUAAGCGGAAUUCCUGGUGUAGCGGUGAAAUGCGUAGAUAUCAGGAGGAACACCUGUGGUGUAGACAGCUUCCUGGACCAUUUCUGACGCUGAGACACGAAAGCGUGGGUAGCAAACAGG